GCCUAGCCCUGAUUGCAGUGGCAUCCUUUUUUGAUUUUUCUUCAAAAAAGAUAUAACGGAAAGCAGGUAUUAGC
rnacentral:sRNA from 1 species